rnacentral:rRNA from 1 species
AUUGAACGCUGGCGGCAUGCUUUACACAUGCAAGUCGAACGGUAACAGGCCUUCGGGUGCUGACGAGUGGCGAACGGGUGAGUAAUGCAUCGGAACGUGCCCAGAGGUGGGGGAUAACGCAGCGAAAGCUGUGCUAAUACCGCAUGUGAUCUGAGGAUGAAAGCGGGGGACCAGGCAGCAAUGUUUGGCCUCGCGCCUUUGGAGCGGCCGAUGUCAGAUUAGGUAGUUGGUGGGGUAAAGGCCUACCAAGCCGACGAUCUGUAGCUGGUCUGAGAGGACGACCAGCCACACUGGGACUGAGACACGGCCCAGACUCCUACGGGAGGCAGCAGUGGGGAAUUUUGGACAAUGGGCGCAAGCCUGAUCCAGCAAUGCCGCGUGCGGGAAGAAGGCCUUCGGGUUGUAAACCGCUUUUGUACGGAACGAAAAGGCUCUGGCUAAUACCUGGGGCUGAUGACGGUACCGUAAGAAUAAGCACCGGCUAACUACGUGCCAGCAGCCGCGGUAAUACGUAGGGUGCGAGCGUUAAUCGGAAUUACUGGGCGUAAAGCGUGCGCAGGCGGUCUUGUAAGACAGAGGUGAAAUCCCUGGGCUCAACCUAGGAAUGGCCUUUGUGACUGCAAGGCUGGAGUGCGGCAGAGGGGGAUGGAAUUCCGCGU